rnacentral:tRNA from 1 species
GAAAGUUUAGUUAAAAAUAACAUAAACUGGUCAUGUUUAAAUUAUUCAAAGAAAUAUCUUUCU